CAGUGAAUAGGCCCAAGCGACUGUUUAUCAAAAACACAGGUCUCUGCUAAACCGUAAGGUGACGUAUAGGGGCUGACGCCUGCCCGGUGCUGGAAGGUUAAGAGGAGUGGUUAGCGCAAGCGAAGCUACGAAUCGAAGCCCCAGUAAACGGCGGCCGUAACUAUAACGGUCCUAAGGUAGCGAAAUUCCUUGUCGGGUAAGUUCCGACCCGCACGAAAGGCGUAACGAUUUGGGCACUGUCUCAACGAGAGACUCGGUGAAAUCAUAGUACCGGUGAAGAUGCCGGUUACCCGCGACAGGACGGAAAGACCCCGUGGAGCUUUACUGUAGCCUGAUAUUGAAAUUCGGUACAGUUUGUACAGGAUAGGUAGGAGCCUUAGAAGCGUGAGCGCUAGCUUACGUGGAGGCAUUGGUGGGAUACUACCCUAAUUGUAUUGGAUUUCUAACCCGCAGCACUUAUCGUGCUGGGAGACAGUGUCAGGCGGGCAGUUUGACUGGGGCGGUCG
rnacentral:rRNA from 1 species